UAGGUGGAAGUAGCAAGUUGGAACCAAAGAGAUAAAGACAUCAGCGGGAAGAACAGAGGGAAGUAGGGGUGCACACUUUGCUGUCAUUCAACCAUUCAACCCCCAGGGAUUUGAAUCAAAUUUGAAUCAUAUCCCUUCCAUCCUAUAGCACUGCCAUUCCUGAAGUCACCUGAACAACCCUUAUAAACUUCAAAACAUGUCCUUCUAGCCAAGCAAGAAACUGGGAUUCCUACCAUUGCAAAUGAUAAUCUUCACUAAUACAACUGCUUUAUACUGCUACAAACUUGGGCAUAAGUGAUUUUUAUAAAAGUUGUUUUAAAUCUUGUAUUUACAUCGCACUUCACCAUUUUCUAAACAUCUCUGUUAUACACAUCUGUUUUGACAUGCAAAAAUAAUUGAGUGAGAUGAGUAAAGUGGCAUUUACUGUUACUUUAAAAUAAUAAUGAAAGAUUUUAAAAAAUCAGUAAGAUGAAGAAUCACCUAAAUUUUGCCUGAGGUCACACAGCUAGUGAGUGUAAAACUGGAGUUGAAUCCCAGUCUUCUAACUCCCAAUCCAGAGCUCUAACUCCAGAACCCUAGCCUGCUGAUUCCCAGCCUUGCGUUCAAUAUGUUCUUUUAGGCCUGUGCACAGAUGUCAAAAUACUCUUGCUUCAGUUAGUUGCUCAGUCAUGUCCAACUCUUUGCGACUCCAUGGACUGCAGCACGCCAGGCUUCCCUGUCUAUCACCAACUCCCAGAGCUCGCUCAAACUCAUGUUCAUCCAAUCUGUGACGCCAUCCAGCCAUCUCAUCCUCUGUCAUCCCCUUCUCCUCCUGCCUUCAAUCUUUCCCAGCAUUAGGGUCUUUUCCAAUGAGUCAGUUAUUCAAAUAUUCUAGAGAGAACUUAAACAGAAAACUUUCCACAAUGUAAACAAUUAACUUCUAGUCAGUCUAUUUUUAAAGUGAUUUUAAAAAAAAAGUAUUUCCUUAAUACAGGUAUGCUUGUGCUCCAACUAUUCUAUUUGCCAGAAGAAGCUAAUGAAGAAUUAGUGACACCUUGUGGCAAAAACUUAUUAAUUCAUGAGCUACGACCAUCCAAAGUCCUCAUGCACUUCACUAAGUAGUUAAGACAAUAGCAAAACAUCUGGAAAGGAUAAUCUGUGGUUACAGACUCCACAUCUCACAACUAAAACUGUCCUCCCUUUGUUCCACUUGGGCUCAGUUCCCACCACUUCACAGAAACUGCUAUUUUUGUGAAGUUCACAGACAACUUCCAUGCUGGCAAACCCAAUGGUUACUUCUCAGUUCUCAUCUUACACAACUUCUUGUAAUAACCAGGCUGACUCCACCGCUCCUGAAAGUUUUGGUUUCACCAAGACCACACUCUUUCCUUUUUAGUUUUAAUGUCUCUAAAGCCCUCUGAACUCUCAUCAGUACCAGAUUCUUAUCUCUAGCUCCAACCUUUCCACCCAACUCCAGACACACGUCUAAACCGCCAGCAUGACUCGUCCAUUUGAUACCUCAAGCGUUUCAGAAUGAAAAAUGCCCACAGGAACUUCCACCCAGACGGCUGCAUCUCAGUAAAUGACAUUAAAUAAUUGUUAACCCCAUUUUGCAGAUUUGCAAUAUGAAACACAAAAACAUUACUUCGCCAGAAGCUAUGGGGCUAGUACAGUGCAGAACCCAGAUUUAAAUCCACACAGCACUUAAUUGAAUGCAAAAGCAAAGGCAAAUAACUGUUACCACUCAGUUCAGUUGAGUCGCUCAGUCGUGUCCGACUCUUUGCGACCCCAUGGACUGCAGUAGCCAGGCCUCCCUGUCCAUCGCCAACUCCCUAAGUUUACUCAAAUUCAUGUCCAUUGCAUCGGUGAUGCCUCCAACCAUCCCAUCCUCUGUCAUUCCCCUUCUCCUCCUGCCUUCAAUCUUUCCCAGCAUCAGGGUAUUUUCAAAUAAGUCAGUUUUUUGCAUCAGGUGGCCAAAGGGCUGGAGUUUCAGCUUCAGCAUCAGUCCUUCCAAUGAAUAUUCAGGACUGAGUUCCUUUAGGAUGGACUGGUUGGAUCUCCUUGCUGUCCAAGGGACUCUCAAGAGUCUUCUCCAACACCACAGCUCACUCAGGGAAGCAUAAGCUUCACUUACACAAACCCAGUCCUUUCACAUCGCCAACACUAAAACCAGUGCAUUUGCUGUUUCUAAGAACAGACCCGUCCCUUGAGGCUUCAUUUUUUAGGGCAAGAGGAGGAGGGCCUAAAAUACGCAAGAAGACGGACAUCCUUUAUCAAAAAUGAGAUGUCUAUGGGGCGGCCCUCCACGCCCAAGGACCGCCCCCUGAGGACUAGCAACAGAGCGGUAAGCAGGGAAGGAAAGCAGAAAAGGGCAGACCAGCUACGCAGGCGGACCCUGGGGCGGAAGAGGUGGCGGUGCUGGGAGACAACGGGGAAGCCCCUCGGCUCGGCCCUGGCACGUAACAAGAGAUAGGAGGCUGGGCGCCAUGCGUGUGCGGUCGUAGGUCCGGAUCAGAGGCGCGGCAGCAGACGCGGGAGAAACGGCCAAGGGCGGUACCCGAGGAGCGGGCUCUGAGUGAACGGCGCCAACCCAGGCCCCGCCGAGCGCCCCUCUAGAGUGUGGCCGGGGACCGUCGGGGCCCUCCUCAGGCCUCUGCUGGGACUGCCGGGACCGCCUCCUUCAUGCGCAGGCUCGUUGACCAGGAAGACGCGGGUAGGCGGAGUCGAGAACCGGAAGUGCCGGGGCGCACCGGAAACCUUCCCCGGAAGCCCGCCAGCCGGAGCAGCCCUGAGGCCCCGCCCCUCGACGGAACGCUGGGUUGCUGGGCAACCGGCGCGGGCGCCGCGGGAGGGUUCGGUGGUGCUCAGAACCGUCCCUGUGUAGCCCCUACUUCCUGCCCUGGCAACUUCCCGGCCCGCGCGCCUCCCUUCUUGCCGCCCCUCCUCGCAUCACGGAAUCCCUGCCCUUGGCACUACGUGCACCUCUCCGGCUCCCACGACACUCUAGUGCCCACCUGCUUCGAAGCCAAGCUUCACCGAAAGGGAAGCGGGCCGACCCCGGGCGCGACCUCCACGUUGGCUGAGCGCGCCUCCCCGGCCAUGGCCACCUACACCUACACCAGCCGGCCCCGGGCCUUGCCCUCCCAGCGCCGCCGUUACCGGGACGACCUGAUGCAGCAAGCUGAAGAACCUGUGCAUUACGGAAACAUAAUGUAUGACAGAAGGGUAAUCCGAGGCAACACUUACGCUCUGCAGUCAGUACCCCUGCCUGGGCAGCCUGAUCCUAUAGAGAUUCAGAGACAGCAGCAGGCCAGGAGGAGGGCUUUUGCCAGAAAACGAGCCCAAGAACAGCUCAGACCACAUACACCUGAACCCGUGGAAGGCAGAAAACAUGUGGAUGUGCAGACAGAAUUAUACCUUGAAGAAAUUGCUGACCGCAUAAUAGAAGUUGAUAUGGAGUGCCAAACAGAUGCGUUUUUGGACAGACCACCAACACCACUCUUUAUUCCUGCCAAAACUGGCAAAGAUGUGGCCACUGAAAUUCUAGAAGGAGAGCUGUUUGACUUUGAUCUUGAAGUUAAACCAAUGUUAGAAGUUUUGGUGGGGAAGACCAUCGAGCAGUCUCUUCUGGAAGUGAUGGAAGAAGAGGAGCUGGCAAACCUGCGGGCCAGUCAGUAUGCAUAUGAAGAGCUCCGCAACGUCGAGCUUGCUGAAGUCCAGCGACUUGAAGAGCAGGAGAGACGACACCGAGAGGAAAAAGAACGUCGGAAGCAGCAGCAAUGGCAGGUGGUUCACAAGCAUAAUGAGACCUCGCAGAAGAUCGCUGCUCGAGCGUUUGCACAGCGUUACCUGGCCGACCUCCUCCCGUCAGUUUUUGACAGCCUUCGGGAUGGUGGCUACUUCUAUGAUCCCAUUGAAAGAGAUAUUGAGAUAGGAUUCCUCCCAUGGCUAAUGAAUGAAGUUGACAAAAGCAUGGAGUACAGCAUGGUGGGAAGAACAGUGCUUGACAUGUUGAUUCGUGAGGUGGUUGAGAGGAGACUGAAUCUCUAUGAGCAGAAGGAGGGCAGGCACGCCCCUGUGAGGCCUGAGUCCGGGCUCGGCGGUCCCGGAGGAACGCGAGAGCCGCUGGUGGGUUUUGAAUCCCAGGAUCAGGGUGCAGCCCAGGCCCAGAGGCCCCUUCCAGACAGAGACUCCCUACAGAGAACGGCGUACGACGCCAGGUACAUGGAUAGAGUGUCGUCCCGGGAAAGGAGGCUCGCGGAAGAAGAUGACGAACUGACAGAAAUGAGGAGAUCCUUUGAGAGGGAAGAGCUGUCGCAGUAGAGGGGAGCCUCACUGCCUGGAGCCAGUCAGCAGCCAGUCAGCGCUGCAGUCAGUCAGGGGGAAGUAAGACCACUGACGCUGAGGAAUUUGUCCCAAAGUCACAUCAGUACUCAGAGGCAGAGCCAGGACUCACAGCCAGCCGGCUGGCUCCAGAGGCCCCUCCCGACACCGCCUCCACUAGGCUGGGCAGUUCCAGCUCCACAGUUAACCUGUAAGUGAAUCAGCAAAUAGGAGGCUACCUCUAGAAACUCAGUUAACGUGCUGACUUUCUAGAGAGACCUGACGUUGCUUUAAAAAAAAAAAAAAAAAAAAGGUAUAUUAGCAGCUGCAUUUUCAGAUUAACCCAGUGCUACUUUUCUGGCCAUAUAGAAGCUCAAAAAGUUUGCAUCACUUUAAAAAAGUGACUGUCUUCACGUUGCACACAGGAUUUACUUAAUGACAGAGCUAAUUCCACAUAAACGAAGACCAUGGAGUAACGGUUUACAUGACACUGAAAUAGCCUGGUCUUCCCAGAAGUCAGGAGGGAACAGUUUGGUUAAUAUGUGCUGCUGCUGCUUUUUUUCUUUUUUUGGAGUGUCCAAUAAGUUGCUAUGCAUGAGAGAUUUUUUCCCUAGAGAUAUUUGUAAACAAACAAAUUCGUCCCCAAUUCUAAUGAAAAGUUAUUGUUUAAUUUUUUUUUAAGGUUCAGGUUCCCCUUCUUCAGUUACUACGGGCAACAAAAUAUCCCUGAAAUGAAAUGACUCAUCUUCUAGUCAAUUUUUUAAAAAUCUUACUUCUUCUAUUUAGGACAAUUUUUUAAAGUUUAAUGGCAAACAAAAGCUGUCUAAGGCACCUUAAGAACAGACUAUACAGAGGACUCAUAAAUACACAAGUUUGUUCUUUUCUAAUACUUUUUAUUUCUUGUGAGGUAUGCAUGCUAAAAUGAUUCCUAACAAAGUUGAAGUAAGUAAAAUAUGUUUAGGUGGUAUAACUACAUAAAUUAUAAGAUAAUUUCAGUAUACCUAGAGAUUACAGUGUUACAGAUGCUUCAGCAUUAUUUAUGUAUAAAGUGUUGGUCAUUCCUUUAAAAACAUUCAUGUAAAUUCCUAAAGCAUCAUGCAUUGCUUUCUCUCGGGGGCCGUGUCAGCUAACAGUCUCCACUGGACUCCGUCAGUAGGGUCAUGCUUCCUGCUCCCAAAAAAUGGACCCCCCUGGAAAAUCAUAUUGUUGGAUGAGGGUUCUAGGUUUUUUCAAUGAGAGAACUGUCUUAUAUCAAAUGUGAUUUUUAUGUAUUUGUAUGUAAUAUGUAUAUGUAAUUUCACAGAUCUUUGUCCAAGAUCACUCAUCAUCCUUUGCAUCAAGAAGAUUUUGGCCACAACAUUUUGAAUCAUCUGUUUUCAUUUUUUGGAUGGAGGAAGAAGGGAUAAAUGAAAAUAUGAACAUUUCUAUUUUGUUGUUGGCUCAUCUCUUCAAUAUAAAUUAUUCAUAAAACC